GGGCUAUACAGCAGGUCUCCUACACGGAGGGUCAGGGCUAUACAGCAGGUCUCCUACACGGAGGGUCAGGGCUAUACAGCAGGUCUCCUACACGGAGGGUCAGGGCUAUACAGCAGGUCUCCUACACGGAGGGUCAGGGCUAUACAGCAGGUCUCCUACACGGAGGGUCAGGGCUAUACAGCAGGUCUCCUACACGGAGGGUCAGGGCUAUACAGCAG